AUCCGGCAACAGAGUUGGAACCAGAUUUUGACUUGGAUAUUAAAGUGGAUGUUGAAGAAGAAUGCAACAAAUAUGGCAGGGUGAAGCA